rnacentral:rRNA from 1 species
GUCGAGAAUUUUUGACAAUGGGGGAAACCCUGAUCGAGCGACGCCGCGUGGAGGAUGAAGGUCUUCGGAUUGUAAACUCCUGUCAUUGGGGAACAAGGUGCAUACGUUAACUGCGUAUGUAUUGAUAGUACCCGAAGAGGAAGAGACGGCUAACUCUGUGCCAGCAGCCGCGGUAAUACAGAGGUCUCAAGCGUUGUUCGGAUUCAUUGGGCGUAAAGGGUGCGUAGGCGGCGCGGUAAGUCGGGUGUGAAAUCUCGGAGCUUAACUCCGAAACUGCAUUCGAUACUGCCGUGCUUGAGGACUGGAGAGGAGACUGGAAUUUACGGUGUAGCGGUGAAAUGCGUAGAUAUCGUAAGGAAGACCAGUGGCGAAGGCGGGUCUCUGGACAGUUCCUGACGCUGAGGCACGAAGGCCAGGGGAGCAAAC